AUUGGCUGGGGCAGGACAAGGGCUAGGAUU
rnacentral:piRNA from 1 species